GAUGAACGCUGGCGGCGUGCCUAAUACAUGCAAGUCGAGCGAACAGACGAGGAGCUUGCUCCUCUGACGUUAGCGGCGGACGGGUGAGUAACACGUGGAUAACCUACCUAUAAGACUGGGAUAACUUCGGGAAACCGGAGCUAAUACCGGAUAAUAUAUUGAACCGCAUGGUUCAAUAGUGAAAGACGGUUUUGCUGUCACUUAUAGAUGGAUCCGCGCCGCAUUAGCUAGUUGGUAAGGUAACGGCUUACCAAGGCAACGAUGCGUAGCCGACCUGAGAGGAUGAUCGGCCACACUGGAACUGAGACACGGUCCAGACUCCUACGGGAGGCAGCAGUAGGGAAUCUUCCGCAAUGGGCGAAAGCCUGACGGAGCAACGCCGCGUGAGUGAUGAAGGUCUUCGGAUCGUAAAACUCUGUUAUUAGGGAAGAACAAAUGUGUAAGUAACUAUGCACGUCUUGACGGUACCUAAUCAGAAAGCAACGGCUAACUACGUG
rnacentral:rRNA from 1 species